rnacentral:rRNA from 1 species
AGCUGAGGAAAAGAAACUAACAAGGAUUCCCCUAGUAACGGCGAGUGAACCGGGAAGAGCUCAAAUUUGAAAUCUGGCGUGCUCAGUGCGUCCGAGUUGUAAUCUAUAGAGUCGUUUUCCGUGCCGGACUGUGUCCAAGUCCCUUGGAACAGGGUAUCAAAGAGGGUGAUAAUCCCGUACUUGACACAAUGACCGGUGCUCUGUGAUACGUCUUCUACGAGUCGAGUUGUUUGGGAAUGCAGCUCAAAAUGGGUGGUGAGUUCCAUCUAAAGCUAAAUAUUGGCGAGAGACCGAUAGCGAACAAGUACCGUGAGGGAAAGAUGAAAAGCACUUUGGAAAGAGAGUUAAACAGUACGUGAAAUUGUUAAAAGGGAAACGAUUGAAGUCAGUCGUGACUGAGAGGCUCAGCCGGUUCUGCCGGUGUAUUCCCCUCAGUCGGGUCAACAUCAGUUUUGUUCGGUGGAUAAGGGCAGUUGGAAGGUGGCACCCUCGGGUGUGUUAUAGCCAGCUGUCGCAUACAUCGGAUGAGACUGAGGAAUGCAGCUCGCCUUUAUGGCCGGGGUUCGCCCACGUUCGAGCUUAGGAUGUUGACAUAAUGGCUUUAAACGACCCGUCU